GAUAAAUGGCUUGUGGCGGCCAAGGUUCAUAGCGAAGUCGCUUGAUCCUUCGAUGUCGGCUGUUCCUAUCAUUGAGAAGGCGAAUUCACCAUGUGAGGGAUUUUUCACCGUACAAAAAGGGAACGUGAGCAGAGUUUAGACCAUCGUGAGACAGGUG
rnacentral:misc_RNA from 13 species